rnacentral:rRNA from 1 species
UACGUAGGUGGCGAGCGUUGUCCGGAUUUACUGGGCGUAAAGGAUGCGUAGGCGAAUAUUUAAGUGAGAUGUGAAAUACCCGAGCUUAACUUGGGUGCUGCAUUUCAAACUGGAUAUCUAGAGUGUGGGAGAGGAGAAUGGAAUUCCUAGUGUAGCGGUGAAAUGCGUAGAGAUUAGGAAGAACACCAGUGGCGAAGGCGAUUCUCUGGACCAUAACUGACGCUGAGGCAUGAAAGCGUGGGUAGCAAACAGG